UACGAAGUGGGCUAGCGUUGCUCGGAAUCACUGGGCGUAAAGGGUGCGUAGGCGGGUCUUUAAGUCAGGGGGGAAAUCCUGGAGCUCAACUCCAGAACUGCCUUUGAUACUGAGGAUCUUGAGUUCGGGAGAGGUGAGUGGAACUGCGAGUGUAGAGGUGAAAUUCGUAGAUAUUCGCAAGAACACCAGUGGCGAAGGCGGCUCACUGGCCCGAUACUGACGCUGAGGCACGAAAGCGUGGGGAGCAAACAGG
rnacentral:rRNA from 1 species